AUAUUCUGCUUCUCUUCCUAUCAUAUAAAUCUUUCACCUUUUACUAAAAAUUUCUGUGGAGAAGAAUAAUUCUGAGUUCAAGAGAGAGAUAAUACAUGUAUAAUUUUGGCUGAUUUGUGUUGUUGUACAUCA
ensembl:snRNA U5 U5 spliceosomal RNA